CCUACGGGAGGCAGCAGUGGGGAAUAUUGGGCAAUGGAGGCAACUCUGACCCAGCCACGCCGCGUGAAUGAUGAAGGUCCUCGGAUUGUAAAGUUCUUUUCUAAGGGAAGAAGAAAGUGACGGUACCUUAGGAAUAAGCCUCGGCUAACUACGUGCCACCAGCCGCGGUAAUGCGUAGGAGGCACGCGUUAUCCGGAAUGACUGGGCGUAAAGGGUGCGUAGGUGGUUUAACAAGUUAGUAGCGCAACUCCGGAGCUCAACUUCGGAAAUAUUACUAAAACUGGUGGACUUGAGUGCAGGAGGAGCAUUCGGAAUGCCUAGUGUAGCGGUGGAAUGCGUAGAUAUUAGGAGGAACACCAGUGGCGAAGGCAGAUUGCUAGACUUUAACUGACACUGAGGCACGAAAGCGUGGGGAGCAAACAGGAUUAGAUACCCGGGUAGUC
rnacentral:rRNA from 1 species